UCCGUCCCCUCACACCCGCGGCCUUGUUCGUUCGUCCCUCCCCUCGCUAACCGCUCCGGCAUCGCCCUCCCCCUCUCCUCUCCCCCACCCUCGCCGUCGCCGCUCCGCCCUCCCCACAUUUGUGAGCAGUUCCGCCUCGCAGCUGCCGUCACCCUCCCUCCCCAACGCCUCAGCGCGCUCCCCGACGACAUCCUCAUCCUCCUCCGCCUCGACACCACCGCCGCCAACGGGACCAGCGUCCUCUCCUGCCGCUGGCGCUGCGUCUGGGUCCUCCUCCCAGAGCUCUGCAUCCCCGUCGACCGGUCGCCCCCGAGCCGAUGCCCACGAGGUGCCCCUCCGGGACCUCCUCGUCAUGGUCGAGGGCGCCGAAUCCCUGGCGAUCUAGCUCCGCGCCGCCGCGCGCCGCAUCUCCGGCGACCUAGCCCUUCUCAACUUUGAUCCGGAGAAAAAUACCGAGCCGUUGAGUUCCCCUGCUCGAGAAGGUCACCUCGAUCUCGCGCAAGGAGGAGCCGUUGAGUUCCCCCGCUUCGAGAAGGCCACCCGAGCUGUGGGCGGAUCGACGUCGACUCAAGCCCCUCUGCCGAAACGCUGACGGAUCCGCGACUCCUGACGGCCCCCACGCCGCAUCCCCCACUAUCCGGUCCACACUCGUCCCCAAAAUCCCCCCUCCACCGCGCAGCAAAAUACCUCCAUCGUCGAGCUCGGAGCGGCGGCGAUCUCGUGUCCUCCUCGUGCUACAGUGUCGCUCGGUCGCUAUGGCCGGUAGGGCCAACGUGAAGGUGCGGCGGAGCAGCAAUGUAGCGGGGGAGACCUUGCUGCGUCGAUGGUCAGAAGGAUGACCUCAGGCGUUAGUCGCUCGACGGGCGGCCGGAUGGGACGGCGCUCAGCAGCUCCCUCUCUCCUCCGUGUUUCCAUGGAUACACCUCCAUUGCUGGGCACUCGCCUUGAAGUUUGCCAUGUGUGAUGUGGCUAGAGCCAGUUGCCCUAGGAGGUUAGGAUGAUCCCUCCAUUGGCAGUGCUGAUGCCAACAGGGUUUCAGCCCAAAGGUACCCAGAGGAGGCUAAGACUUGCUGAGUUCGUACAGAUUAGAUCAUCUUUACAUGCCUUCAACAUAAACGUUUAAUGUAAAAUACUUGCACAACAUUUUAGAAAAUUGAACUAUAAGCUGCUAUAGAUGCUAGGCAUACUAGACUGAUUUGGCUCGUGGAUAUGUGAUGCAUUUUGCAGCAAAAUGCUACCAUGGUAGCAGUGAAAGAGAAUUACAGAAGGUAUGCUAAAACAAUUUCUCUCUUAAGUUGGAAAUGUGGGAGUAAAUGAAUAUGGUUUUCAUGCUUUGUCUUAGAGAAUGCGACCCUAGCUAUAGCCGGACAUCUAUAGCUAAUAUAUUAUUUGUCAAUUAUGAAUCCUCUGUAAAUGAGUAUGAUUCAAAUUUAUUUUGGUGUGAAACAUUAAAUAUUAAUCACUGGACCUACGAAAAUGGUCUCUGCACAUGUUGCAUCAGCUCCUUAUGUCCCUAUCUACAAACAAUAGUGGAGCUCCAAGGCAUGCUGUAGAAUGCAUCUGAGUAGUGCUACUACUUUAUUUUGUUCUGUGUUGUAGACUUGUCGGGUGUGAUCCCUAUAUACGAUCUGCAAUUCUGCAUUGAUAUGUUAUUUAUUUCUUGCCCAUUCCAACGAUGUGAUUGUGGGGCUCUUAGAAUGGAAAGGUUUGUGUAGUAGUCGAGUAGAGCUUGCUUACGAGUUGGAUGGUAAGAAAGUUAUAAUGCGAGGAAUUGCACUUUGAUUUGGCUAUGCUAAACUGAAAUUAGGAGUGCUGGUGUGAGAAAUGAAGAGUACCUCCUAGGAUUAAAAGCUACUAAUACUGCUGCUUGUUUUAAAGGGAUAAUGGGAUCAACGCUUGCAGCUGGGGAAGAAGUUAAAAGAUUACUGUAAUGAGUCAUGGCUACAGUAAGUAAGCCUGAAUGCCGUAUUGUCUUUGGCCUUGAUGAUGCCUGAUGUAUGCCAUCAAGGAAGCACUUCAUUGGUUCUGAAGCGAAGCUUUUUAUCUUUUUCUGUCCUUCUCUGUUCAUUUUCCAGUAUCUAAUGAUAGUUCUUUUCUUUUCUGCUUGUUUUCUGAAAUUAAUGGUAUGGAUUGAUUUCCCAGUAUAUAUAUAGACACACACACAUUGAUGCUUAUUAUGGUACAAA